rnacentral:tRNA from 1 species
AAGACACUAGUAAUAAUUAACAUACGCUGCCUUGUCAAGACAGAGCUGUAGGUUAGAGUCCUGCGUGUCUUA